rnacentral:ncRNA from 1 species
AUGCAAGUCGAACGGAAAAGUGGUGUUUGCAGCAGCGAACCGGUGAGUAAUGCAUAAGAACAUGUCCUUAGAAGGAGAACAACAACAGAAAACGGUUGUUAAUACCUUGUAGGCUGAGGAGCAAAAAAGGAAAAAUCUGCCUAAGGAGAAACUCACAUCUGAUUAGCUAGUUGGUGAGGCAAUAGCUUACAAGGAUGAUCAGUAACUAUUCCGGAAGGAUGAUCAGCCGUGGGAAAUAUUGAACUCGAAAUAAUAAGGCAUGCUGCA